rnacentral:tRNA from 1 species
CUCUUGGUGGCACAAAUGGUUAAAUGCUUGGCUACUAACCAAAAGGUUGGUGGUUCGAAUCCACCCAGAGG